rnacentral:rRNA from 1 species
UACAGAGGGGGCAAGCGUUGUUCGGAAUUACUGGGCGUAAAGGGUGCGUAGGCGGCGCGGAAAGUAGGGUGUGAAAUCCCUCGGCUCAACCGAGGAACUGCGCUCUAAACUACCGUGCUCGAGGGAGAUAGAGGUAAGCGGAACUUAGGGUGGAGCGGUGAAAUGCGUUGAUAUCCUAAGGAACACCGGUGGCGAAAGCGGCUUACUGGAUCUCUUCUGACGCUGAGGCACGAAAGCUAGGGUAGCGAACGGG